CCAGACUCCUAUGGGAGGCAGCAGUCGGGAAUAUUGCGCAAUGGAGGAAACUCUGACGCAGUGACGCCGCGUGCAGGAAGAAGGUUUUCGGAUUGUAAACUGCUUUAGACAGGGAAGAAACAAGACAGUACCUGUAGAAUAAGCUCCGGCUAACUACGUGCCAGCAGCCGCGGUAAUACGUAGGGGGCAAGCGUUAUCCGGAUUUACUGGGUGUAAAGGGAGCGUAGACGGUGCAGCAAGUCUGAUGUGAAAGGUCGGGGCCCAACCCCGGGACUGCAUUGGAAACUGUUGAACUGGAGUACAGGAGAGGUAAGCGGAAUUCCUAGUGUAGCGGUGAAAUGCGUAGAUAUUAGGAGGAACACCAGUGGCGAAGGCGGCUUACUGGACUGUAACUGACGUUGAGGCUCGAAAGCGUGGGGAGCAAACAGGAUUAGAUACCCUUGUACC
rnacentral:rRNA from 1 species